CUGGCAUAGCGGAAGUGACGUCUUUGAAACCCAUGGAUAGCGCAUGAAGGCAGCAUAUUCAAGUCACUUUCGUCGGAACAAGAUGGCAGUGUACCUUCUCUAAAUUAACUACACAAAAAUACAGACAGGCUCAGGAGACUGGAUUCCUCUGCGUCCUGAAGGUGUGAGAUUGGACGGCUGUGAUUCGCACCCUUCCCACCUCACAGCAGGAACGAUAAUUGCCAGAUACUGUGAACCCAAUAUUCCCUGUGCUUCUGCUGGCCAAUGAGAGACGUGUGUGUGGACACAAGAGAAACAAUCGAUAGAGGAAUAGGAUACUCAAAUUUUUCACUACAAGCAGAGAGGAGCUUACGUAACGCUCAAACGCUGCACAUCUUGCAUGAAGCAGCUGCGUCUCUUUGGGGUCGCGGCAGUAACGUGCGUACAAGAUCUGAAACCACGGCAACAGCUGAGCUGAGGAGAGCAGCUGCACUUUGUUUUUGCUUCAUAAGGUUCUGCACAUCAUGACAUGACAGCACGGCGAUGAUGUCAUUUGAGCGUGGAUGAUGUCAUUGGAAGAUUUGAUUGAGGUGGAGUGAUGCAAAGCCUUCAAAAGCAUUAUCUCCAAUCAUAGUUUUUGUGGUUUUAUCAUAUAGUGUCAAAUUAUUACAAUUUCUGCACUACUUGCAGGUGAGAAGUUGGCCAUUUUCUCUUCAGUAUGAGUGGGGAUAUUUAUUUUUAAUGACCCUACGAGUUCGAUUAAACUAUUAAAAUAUGAGGAAAAUAUUUUAUAUUUUUAAACAUGUUAAAUAUGAGGAAAGAGCAAAACACUAAACCUGGUUAAGGUAUUUAUCUUACAAAAUUAUUUCAAAGUAUUAUGCCAUUCCCUCUCUCUCUCAAACACACACAUCUGUUUUGCAUGCACUAAGUCUCCUCCCAAUAUGCAAAUGACCGUUUUAUUGUUUGUUAUGCAAAAGCUGAUGUACAGGAUACACUUCUUCUGAAUUAUUAACGUUACACAUACAGUAUCUGUGCAGCUGUUUGAAUAGAAAAGCAUCGCUCAGAUCCACAUAUAGCCAGAGAAAUGUGCAUUAUUUUUCCUCACUGAGCAUCAGAUUUUGAUUCUCAUGGAUCUCAAGGGCUUGUUUGUGCAUUGCAUCUGAAGCCAACUAUAAUUAUGAAAAUAUUAAACACAGCCCUGUUUGGACUUAAGGCACGAAUGAUCAUUAAUAAAUGUAAUGUGUUUGUUUGUUUGUUGAAAACAUUUUAUGCACUUUUGCAGCAUUCAACCAUGCAUAGUAAAUUCAUUUCAGAUCGUUGACAGUUCAUUUUUGUUAUUUUAAAGUCCCCCUGAGACUUUAAGUUAAUAUUUCAAUAAUUUAUCAGCACAUAUCAAUGCAUUUAUCAUUAUUUGUUUGCAAUAUUAUGUGAUAAAUAAGUUGUGAUAAAAAGUCAUUAUGACAAUUUUUUUGACAUUUUAAAGUCAUUAUGACUUAGUAUGUAAUGUAAUAAAUUUCAUAUCAUAAUUAUGACUUUAUCUCAAUGUCUGUCAUCAUUUUGACAU